rnacentral:rRNA from 1 species
UACGGAGGGGGCUAGCGUUAUUCGGAAUUAUUGGGCGUAAAGGGCGCGUAGGCGGCCAUGUAAGUCAAAGGUGAAAUCCCCGGGCUCAACCUGGGAACUGCCUUCGAUACUGCGUGGCUUGAGUCCGAGAGGGGGAAGUGGAAUUCCUGGUGUAGCGGUGAAAUGCGUAGAUAUCAGGAGGAACACCGGUGGCGAAGGCGACUUCCUGGAUCGGUACUGACGCUGAGGCGCGAAAGCGUGGGGAGCAAACAGG